GAUGAACGCUGGCGGCGUGCCUAAUACAUGCAAGUCGAGCGAACAGACGAGGAGCUUGCUCCUCUGACGUUAGCGGCGGACGGGUGAGUAACACGUGGAUAACCUACCUAUAAGACUGGGAUAACUUCGGGAAACCGGAGCUAAUACCGGAUAAUAUAUUGAACCGCAUGGUUCAAUAGUGAAAGACGGUUUUGCUGUCACUUAUAGAUGGAUCCGCGCCGCAUUAGCUAGUUGGUAAGGUAACGGCUUACCAAGGCAACGAUGCGUAGCCGACCUGAGAGGGUGAUCGGCCACACUAGAACUGAGACACGGUCCAGACUACUGCGGGAGGCAGCAGUAGGGAAUCUUCCGCAAUAGGCGAAAGCCUGACGGAGCAACGCCGCGUGAGUGAUGAAGGUCUUCGGAUCGUAAAACUCUGUUAUUAGGGAAGAACAAAUGUGUAAGUAACUAUGCACGUCUUGACGGUACCUAAUAAGAAAGCCACGGCUAACUACGUG
rnacentral:rRNA from 1 species